GUGCUCCCUUCGGCUGCACCUAUACUAAAAUUGGGACGAUACAGAUUAGCAUGGCCCCUGCGCAAGGAUGACACGCAAAUUCGUUAAGCGUCCCAUAUUUUU
ensembl:snRNA U6 U6 spliceosomal RNA